rnacentral:rRNA from 1 species
GCAUCGAUGAAGAACGCAGCGAAAUGCGAUAAACUAUGUGAAUUGCAGAGUUCAGUGAAUCAUCGAAUCUUUGAACGCACAUUGCGCCCGUCAGUAUUCUGACGGGCAUGCCUGUCCGAGCGUCAUUUCAACCCUCAAGCACUGCUUGGCGUUGGCGGAUUGCGUGCCCUCGCGGCGCGCAACCGCCCAAAUACAGUGGCGGUCCCGCUGCGGCUCCCUUUGCGUAGUAACUCACCUCGCACUGGACCGGGCGGCGGCCUGCCGUAAAACCCCAACUCACGAAAUGUUGACCUCGGAUCAGGUAGGAAUACCCGCUGAACUUAAGCAUAUCAAUAAGCGGAGGAACGGAGGAGCAUAUCAAUAAGCGGAGGA